rnacentral:rRNA from 1 species
AUACGUAGGGUGCAAGCGUUAAUCGGAAUUACUGGGCGUAAAGCGUGCGCAGGCGGCUUUGUGAGAAAGUGGUGAAAUCCCCGGGCUCAACCUGGGAACCGCCAUUGUGAAUGCAAGGCUGGAGCGAGGCAGAGGGGGAUGGAAUUCCGCGUGUAGCAGUGAAAAGCGUAGAUAUGCGGAGGAACACCGAUGGCGAAGGCAAUCCCCUGGGCCUGCACUGACGCUCAUGCACGAAAGCGUGGGGAGCAAACAGGAUUAGAUACCCUGGUAGUCCACGCCCUAAACGAUGUCAACUGGUUGUUGGGGAUUUAUUUUCUCAGUAACGAAGCUAACGCGUGAAGUUGACCGCCUGGGGAGUACGGCCGCAAGGUUAAAACUCAAAGGAAUUGACGGGG